rnacentral:rRNA from 1 species
UGAGGAAUAUUGGUCAAUGGGCGGGAGCCUGAACCAGCCAAGCCGCGUGAGGGAGGAAGGCCCUAUGGGUCGUAAACCUCUUUUGUCAGGGAACAAAAGCGAGUAUGCAUACUAGUCCGAGUGUACCUGAAGAAAAAGCAUCGGCUAGCUCCGUGCCAGCAGCCGCGGUAAUACGGAGGAUGCGAGCGUUAUCCGGAUUUAUUGGGUUUAAACGGGUGCGUAGGCGGCGGUGCAAGUCAGCGGUAAAAGCCCGGGGCUCAACCCCGGCGAGCCGUUGAAACUGCAGUGCUAGAGAAGGCGAGAGGUACGCGGAAUGCGCAGUGUAGCGGUGAAAUGCUUAGAUAUUGCGCAGAACUCCGAUUGCGAAGGCAGCGUACUGGCGCCUGACUGACGCUGAGGCACGAAAGCGUGGGGAUCGAACAGGAUUAGAUACC